UUUUAUAAAAUUCAUAAAAUUGUGAAUCUAUUAAAAUAAAUAAUUAGCUUAAAUUUUACAUCCGAAUAAUUAUUAAAUAAAUUAAAUCAAAUAAAUUGAGAGAUUGAGUACUAAAAUUAAAAUUUUGAAAGGUUGGAUAAUCAAAUUAAAAUUGUAUGUGGUUCAGAUAAAUUUUAUACAUUUGUUUUAAUUUUAAAUACAAAAUAAUCAUAUAUUGUCUAAAUCGGUGCCACGUGAAUAGCAGAUAUACUGUGUUUACGUAAUACUUUUUUAAUACGGUAAACUAAUUAACACUCACACCACGUAAAUUUAUAUAUUGUGAUAAAAUUACUCCCUCCUCCCAACCAUCAAUAAAUUAAAAAAAAAAAUU
rnacentral:lncRNA from 1 species